GGGUUGGUUGUUCUCUUAACCAAAGAGUGUGGUGACACUGGUAUGGCAUACAGGUGAGAUGUAGCAGUACAUCAUCACUGAACAAGUGACUCACCUACUGAGCAUUUUGCUGUCAAGAGCAGCUCAUGAAACACAUAGGUAUAAGUGUCCUUCAGAUCUGAGAUCACUAUAAUGACUUACAAGCAACUCACUAUGCUUUGGUAUUGAACUAUCUGAAUUUUUAAUGCAGUAACAGAAGACUACUGGGUACAGUCAAGUACUUAUGAAGUCUGUGUGUGGAUCAAGAUGGGAUUGACCCCUUCGAAUUAUUGGAGUUGAUAUAUCACUGUAUUUCAAUU
rnacentral:lncRNA from 1 species